rnacentral:lncRNA from 1 species
GUUCCCGGCCACCAGGAGCGCCGCUUCUGGGUGAGCAUUUUCUUCGUUGCUUAUGGCCUUAUAGAGUUGGUUGAGAGCGGUCUUAGUGCCAGCUUCGCAUUGUGGUUGUAAAUAGACGGCUACGAAUAAUACAGAUGAGAACUCUUUUGGUAGAUAGUGCGGUCGACAGCUAUCAAGAGGUACUCUACCUCAGGAGAGCAAUACCUCGAGACUUCUUUAAUAUUAGACAUCGUGCACCAGCUGUUAUUGACAAAAAGACACACACCCCCACCCCUCGUCUUACCAGACGUAGCAUCUCUAUUCUGCCGGUGCAUGGAAAAUCCUGCCAGCUCUAUACUGUCCGAUAAUCUUAAUAUUAGGUCAUCAAAAAAAAUAAUUGCGAUUGCAUGUUAGCAAGAAGAAUGGAAGGCAUUAGGAGUUUACUCGCUCGCCUCCGGAUUCUCAAAAGGAUCCCUGAUCUGCGUCCCCUUUUCCGGUGUCUUUUGUUCACGCAAAAGGCGUGGACCUGGGCCUGUUCCAGUGGAAGCAGGAUAUCCUUCUCGUCGGACUCAUUAAAGGAAAAAGUUUCUUCCAGUCCACGAGAAUGCAGAGAGAGUGUGGAGGCUAGUAGAGGUUUUAUUAUGCCCGCGCUCUGACACUCCCUCUUCCGGACCAGCUCGGCUGAAUGCCCUGGCUCCAACUGAUGCCAGCCUCGAUGAUCAUACUGAUAACGCUCUUAUACUGAUAUGCCAUGAAGAUGGAUCUAGUGCCCAGGGCACACUCACCUCCACCCUCCUCCACCUCAGGGUAGUUCUGACGGGGACACGACCUCCCACAACCUCCACACAUGGGGUGCCACACGCAGGGCGCCGGGGUGCCCCAGAGUCUCCUGCCCAAACCCCCAACUUUGUGGAUUCACUUUUAUUUGGAAAGACUUUAUUUACUUUUUUCCUGCAUGCUUUCAGUGGUGUGGGAUGGAGAGAGAGAUGACUACCUGACUGACAAACCUGGUUUCACAGCAUUUCAUAUUAUUCUGUGCCUAAAUCCGAGAUGCUCCAU